CUACACGUCAAUUAAGAAAUUCCGAUAAUAACAACUCUGCUCCACUGCUCCACUGUGCUUUCGCGCUCGAAUGAUGCUCAAAAAAUGAAACUAGAACGAUCUUCUUCCAAUUGGUCGUAUCGAAAUCCUGUUCGUAUGGUGUCCGUUUGAUGAAAUUAUGAUCAGAGUAACAGUACUCCGUAAAAAAUUCGACUCUGUGAACUCGAGUUAUCCGGCAUUGUAAAGUAGAAAGAAGCCCUAGAAUUCAAGGAAGUCUGAUAUGGAUGCCAAGGAUAUCUUGGGCUUGCCCAAAAAUACGCUUCAUAUACCCCAAGAGAAGAAAUCUAGGGCUCAGAAAGAUGCCCAGAGGAAGCGAGAUGGAAUUUCCCGCGAGGUUUAUGCGCUUACUGGUGGUCUGGCUCCUAUUAUGCCGGCAAUCGAUACAUCUGAGCUGAAGAAACGACCUCCAUCAGAUGAAAAGAUUACGUGGCAGUGGCUUCCUUUUGCAAAUUCUGGUAGAAAAGACAACUUGCAGCUUUACCAUUGGGUUAGAGUUGUAAAUGGCAUUCCACCAACAGGUGACUAUUCCUUUGCAAAGUACAACAAGUCUGUUGAAAUUGUCAAAUACACGGAUGAGGAUUACGAAAAGUAUUUGAAUGAACCUUCAUGGACAAAGGAGGAGACGGAUCAAUUAUUUGACUUGUGUGAACGGUUUGAUCUUCGCUUCGUUGUGAUAGCUGACAGGUUUCCAUCAACAAGGACAGUGGAGGAACUAAAGGAGCGAUAUUAUCGUGCAUCAAGAGCAAUUUUGGCAGCUAGAGAACCAAUGCCUCGGGAAAGUUCAGGGAAUCCUCUAGCCAAGGAUCCUUACAAUGUCUCACAAGAGACUGAGCGCAAACGGGCAUUGUCCAUGGUUCUCUCCCAAACAAAACAGCAAGAACGAAAAGAUGCAGAGGUUCUAGCUGAAGCAAAAAAGAUAACUGAAUCUCGCAGAGAUGAAAGAGUGCCUGAAAAAUCUGAGCUGCCUGUCACUUUAAAUGCUGUCCCUGGAGCUACUGAAAGGGCUGUCGUUCCUGGAGAUUCUGUACCAUCUGUAUCCAAUGUGCAGCCCCCUACUCCAGCAGCUGCACCUUCAACUUUAGUGGCGGAUAAUGCUUCUACUCUUGCUUCUCUUCGCAUGCUUCCUGUAUACUUGAGAACGUAUGCACUUGAGCAAAUGGUACAAGCUGCAAGUUCAUCUGCUGGGCUUCGAACUAUCAAGCGAGUUGAACAAACAUUACAAGAUCUUUCGGUUAAUCUAAAGCCGAGGGUUCCAACAAAAUCAGUGUGUGCAGAACAUCUUGAAUUGAGGAAAGAAAUAUUGACUCUACUGAAUCUUCAAAAGCAGUUGCAAAAUAAGGAGGCAGAAGGUUCAUCUUUCCGUGAGGGUCCCUACAACGAGGCACCUGGCACACCCAAGGAUCGUAGUUUUAUUCCUGAUUCUAUGAGUUCUGGAGGGGAAAGGUCUGGCAAACGGGAUCAGAAACGUAAGGCAACUGGGAGAUUAUCUGAAGCUCCAUCACCCCCAGCUCAAACUAAAAGGCCAAGAAAACAGAAAGGAUCUGAUCUGUGAUUCUCCAGGCGUCAGCUAUACAUAAUUCCCUUGCUUCAAUAACUUGGGAAAAGGAGAGUUUGUAUUGUAUUAUCUGGGGUUCUUUCUUGAAUAGCUGCUUUAUUCCUGUGCCGAUUAGAUUCAAGGCCCUCAUACUUCAUGAGGCAGUCAGCCACUGAUGAUCAAUAUUACUUUCCACGCUCCUGCUGUAGUUCUUUAUGGCGAGCCUCCACAUGCCAAGAAAACUCACCUUGAAUGUCGUCUCAUUUGGUUCAUCAUAUGCUUGGCAUAUUUCCUUCACGAAAUCUCCGAACUUUUCCUUCCAUACCCGUUCAAUUCCCAUCCUUCAUGGUGCUUUUUGAACUGGGGUUAGCUAUCGCAUGCGCCUGAAGAAGAAAAGGUUUAUCGUUGUUUUCACUUUCAAGAAUGAACAAUGUACACAUGUAUUUAACCCGUUCCCUGAUUCCAUUUUCUAAAAUCUUUUUUCAAGAA